CUACGGGAGGCAGCAGUGGGGAAUAUUGGACAAUGGGGGAAACCCUGAUCCAGCGACGCCGCGUGGGUGAAGAAGGCCUGCGGGUUGUAAAGCCCUUUCGGUAGGGACGAAAACUCUUGAUCCAACAAAUCAGGAGCUUGACUUAACCUACAUAAGAAGCACCGGCUAACUCUGUGCCAGCAGCCGCGGUAAUACAGAGGGUGCGAGCGUUAAUCGGAAUUACUGGGCGUAAAGGGCGCGUAGGCGGCUUGGCAAGUCAGAUGUGAAAGCCCCGGGCUUAACCUGGGAAUUGCAUCUGAAACUGCUUUGCUUGAGUCCUGGAGGGGGUAGUGGAAUUCCCAGUGUAGCGGUGAAAUGCGUAGAUAUUGGGAGGAACACCUGCGGCGAAGGCGGCUACCUGGACAGUGACUGACGCUGAGGCGCGAAAGCUAGGGGAGCAAACGGGAUUAGAUACCCCGGUAGUCCUAGCCGUAAACGAUGGGCACUUGGUGUUGGGGGUAUUGAGUCCCCCGGUGCCGGAGUUAACAUAUUAAGUGCCCCGCCUGGGGAGUACGGUCGCAAGACUGAAACUCAAAGGAAUUGACGG
rnacentral:rRNA from 1 species